ACUCCUACGGGAGGCAGCAGUGGGGAAUAUUGCACAAUGGGGAAACCCUGAUGCAGCCAUGCCGCGUGUGUGAAGAAGGCCUUCGGUUGUAAAGCACUUUCAGUAGGGAGGAAGGUAGUGUAGUUAACACCUGCACUAUUUGACGUUACCUACAGAAGAAGCACCGGCUAACUCCGUGCCAGCAGCCGCGGUAAUACGGAGGGUGCGAGCGUUAAUCGGAAUUACUGGGCGUAAAGCGCAUGCAGGCGGCCUGUUAAGUCAGAUGUGAAAGCCCGGGGGCUUAACCUCGGAAUUGCAUUUGAAACUGGCAGGCUAGAGUCUUGUAGAGGGGGUAGAAUUUCAGGUGUAGCGGUGAAAUGCGUAGAGAUCUGAAGGAAUACCAGUGGCGAAGGCGGCCCCCUGGACAAAGACUGACGCUCAGAUGCGAAAGCGUGGGGAGCAAACAGGAUUAGAUACCCUGGUAGCACAGAG
rnacentral:rRNA from 1 species